GCCGCCUUAGCUCAGUGGUAGAGCACAUCCAUGGUAAGGAUGAAGUCCCCGGUUCGAGUCCGGGAGGCGGCUCCG
rnacentral:tRNA from 1 species